UACGAAGGGAGCUAGCGUUGUUCGGAAUCACUGGGCGUAAAGCGCACGUAGGCGGAUGUGUCAGUCAGGGGUGAAAUCCCGGAGCUCAACUUCGGAACUGCCUUUGAUACAGCACGUCUUGAGUCCGGAAGAGGUGGGUGGAAUUCCUAGUGUAGAGGUGAAAUUCGUAGAUAUUCGCAAGAACACCAGUGGCGAAAGGCGGCUCACUGGCCCGAUACUGACGCUGAGGCACGAAAGCGUGGGGAGCAAACAGG
rnacentral:rRNA from 1 species